GCGAUUUAUUCUUUGGCCCACGGGAUACACAGAAGUGCUUUGCUUCAGAUGAAAUGUGAUGACGUCUGGAAUUUACUUCAAAAAAUAUAGAAGGAGAAGAACAGGUACUCCGGUUUUGUAGACUUGGAGGAGACAGACCAGGCAGAAGGCAGUCCAGCAUGCUCAGAACCACCAGGCGCCAAGAUCACAACCACCUCACGUGCAUUCCAACCUCAGGGCAAGAGUGUCCCGACAGGUGCAUGCUUUAUCCUAGGCUACGGGGAAGGAAAACGACUACCUACUCGGAGCCACUUCCGCCUUUGUUCACAACACCCAAAUAAACGCACAAGUCCUGG